AGUCAUCAUCAAGCUUCAUAAGGUCUCUCAAGGAUGAAAGGAAGUUGUAGACAUUAUCCUAGUGAGAAAAAUGCACCGGGUGAAGGACUAUAAGGAGAUAAAGGAGUACUCAAUUAACAACUUUAUUACUUACAUAGAUCUGGAAUAGUGGUAUUAAAAUAACCAAAGAGUAAUUGACUAUUUGGAAUUGUUGCUUCUAGUGCAUUUUUAAAAUUAUUAAAGGCUUUAAGGUUGAUGGCACUCUUAUGCCACCAGAUGGACCUAAUUUGUGGCUAGAUAGUAACAGUAAGCACCAAUGGCUUAUCUUCUACAGAAUCAAUGAAAUAUCACUGCAAGGAGGCGGUCUAAUAGAUGGGAGAGGAAAGAAAUGGGGGGAUCUUCCCUACAAACCCCACAAGAUUGGCAAUGGAUGGAAUAUAGUUCGGGGAGCAUCAAAGGAUUACAUUUUGAAUUUUUGAAUAUAUUUUGUCAUAGGUUUUUGUUAUGAAUUU